UACAGAGGUCUCAAGCGUUGUUCGGAUUCAUUGGGCGUAAAGGGUGCGUAGGUGGCGGGGCAAGUUUGGUGUGAAAUCCCGGGGCUCAACCCCGGAACUGCACUGAAUACUGCCUUGCUUGAGCACUGGAGAGGGAACUGGAAUUUACGGUGUAGCAGUGAAAUGCGUAGAUAUCGUAAGGAAGACCAGUGGCGAAGGCGAGUUCCUGGACAGUUGCUGACACUGAGGCAC
rnacentral:rRNA from 1 species